rnacentral:rRNA from 1 species
UACGUAGGGGGCAAGCGUUGUCCGGAUUUAUUGGGCGUAAAGAGCGUGUAGGCGGCUUUACAGGUCCGUUGUGAAAACUCGAGGCUCAACCUCGAGACGCCGGUGGAAACCGUAAGGCUAGAGUCCGGAAGAGGAGAAUGGAAUUCCUGGUGUAGCGGUGAAAUGCGCAGAUAUCAGGAAGAACACCCGUGGCUAAGGCGGUUCUCUAGUACGGUACUGACGCUGAGACGCGAAAGCGUGGGGAGCGAACAGG